rnacentral:rRNA from 1 species
GGCUACGGCCAUAUCACGAUGAAUGCACCUCAUCCCGUCCGAUUUGAGAAGUUAAGCAUCGUCGAGCCACAUCAGUACUGAGGUUGGAGACAACUUGGGAACCUGUGGUGCCGUAGUCU